AGUCGAGGGGCAGCGGAGAGGUAGCAAUACCUUUGCCGGCGACCGGCGCACGGGUGAGUAACACGUAUGCAAUCCACCUGUAACAGGGGGAUAACCCGGAGAAAUCCGGACUAAUACCCCAUAAUAUGGGUUCUCCGCAUGGAGGGUCCAUUAAAGAGAGCAAUUUUGGUUACAGACGAGCAUGCGCUCCAUUAGCCAGUUGGCGGGGUAACGGCCCACCAAAGCGACGAUGGAUAGGGGUUCUGAGAGGAAGGUCCCCCACAUUGGAACUGAGACACGGUCCAAACUCCUACGGGAGGCAGCAGUGAGGAAUAUUGGUCAAUGGUCGGCAGACUGAACCAGCCAAGUCGCGUGAGGGAAGACGGCCCUACGGGUUGUAAACCUCUUUUGUCGGAGAGUAAAGUACGCUACCUGUAGCGUAUUGCAAGUAUCCGAAGAAAAAGCAUCGGCUAACUCCGUGCCAGCAGCCGCGGUAAUACGGAGGAUGCAAGCGUUAUCCGGAUUUAUUGG
rnacentral:rRNA from 1 species